rnacentral:rRNA from 1 species
UACGUAGGGUCCGAGCGUUGUCCGGAAUUAUUGGGCGUAAAGGGCUCGUAGGCGGUUCGUCACGUCGGGAGUGAAAACUCGGAGCUUAACUCCGAGCCUGCUUCCGAUACGGGCAGACUAGAGGUAGGCAGGGGAGAGCGGAACUCCUGGUGUAGCGGUGGAAUGCGUAGAGAUCGGGAGGAACACCGGUGGCGAAGGCGGCUCACUGGGCCGGUCCUGACGCUCAUGCACGAAAGCGUGGGGAGCAAACAGG